AGUAACGCUACGGCAGGCUAUACCCCGCAGUCUGAACGGUGUCUUCGGACAUAGUGGCGCACGGGUGCGUAACACGUAUGCAACCUACCUUACAUUGGGGGAUAGCCUUUCGAAAGGGAGAUUAAUACCGCAUAAGACAGUAGCUGGGCAUCCAGCAGCUGUUAAAGAUUUAUCGAUGUAAGCUGGGCAUGCGUCCAAUUAGCUAGUUGGUGAGGUAAUGGCUCACCAAGGCAAUGAUUGGUAGGGGAACUGAGAGGUCAAUCCCCCACACUGGCACUGAGAUACGGGCCAGACUCCUACGGGAGGCAGCAGUAGGGAAUAUUGGGCAAUGGACGCAAGUCUGACCCAGCCAUGCCGCGUGCAGGAUGAAGGCGUUAUGCGUUGUAAACUGCUUUUAUACAGGAAGAAACGACUCUUGCGAGAGGCAUUGACGGUACUGUAUGAAUAAGCACCGGCUAACUCCGUGCCAGCAGCCGCGGUAAUACGGAGGGUGCAAGCGUUGUCCGGAUUUAUUGGGUUUAAAGGGUGCCGCAGGUGGUUUAUUAAGUCAGUGGUGAAAGACGGUACGCUCAACGAUUGCAGUGCCAUUGAAACUGGUAGACUUGAGUAAACGUA
rnacentral:rRNA from 1 species